UACGGGGGGGGCAAGCGUUGUUCGGAAUUACUGGGCGUAAAGGGCUCGUAGGCGGCCGACUAAGUCAGACGUGAAAUCCCUCGGCUUAACCGGGGAACUGCGUCUGAUACUGGACGGCUUGAGUUCGGGAGAGGGAUGCGGAAUUCCAGGUGUAGCGGUGAAAUGCGUAGAUAUCUGGAGGAACACCGGUGGCGAAGGCGGGUCUCUGGGCCGAUACUGACGCUGAGGAGCGAAAGCGUGGGGAGCGAACAGG
rnacentral:rRNA from 1 species